rnacentral:rRNA from 1 species
UACGUAGGGUGCAAGCGUUAAUCGGAAUUACUGGGCGUAAAGCGUGCGCAGGCGGCUUUGCAAGACAGAUGUGAAAUCCCCGGGCUUAACCUGGGAACUGCAUUUGUGACUGCAUGGCUGGAGUGCGGCAGAGGGGGAUGGAAUUCCGCGUGUAGCAGUGAAAUGCGUAGAUAUGCGGAGGAACACCGAUGGCGAAGGCAGCCCCCCUGGGUCAAGACUGACGCUCAUGCACGAAAGCGUGGGGAGCAAACAGG